GGUAAAACAAGACUCUUACAAUCCAGUCUCCCGACAAACCGCAUCAGCAGCCAUGUAAAACCUGCUGGAAGAGAGCCACAGUGAGCACACUGUGAGAGUCAAAUGUUUUCAUUCAUUUAUGGCACAGUUUUUGAAGAAUAGAGCUUGGAAGCCAGUCCAGUAUCCUACAUCACAAUUAACAGUCAAACCUAUAGGAUAAUAAUUAGGACAUCCUUUAUUGCCCCAACCUUGUAUAUGACUACCUCAAUAAAGUCAGGUUUUUACAGCUAGAUACUUAUUUCUAAACAUUGUCCUCAGCAACAAUUCUAAAACAAAACUGUAACAGACACUACAGAGAAAAAUACUGAAUUACAUAUUUGAGUUUCUCUUUCCCAAUUCUUGCCAAACUGAAUUUGUCUCAGGGAGACAGAUCUGCAGCUUAAUUAAGACCUAGGUAGCUUUCUGGUAAUAAACUAACAGACUGGUAAACUA